CUACUACUCCCUCCGUCCGGAAAUACUUGUCAUCAAAAUGAAUAAAAGGGGAUGUAUCUAGACAUAUUUUAGUUCUAGAUACAUCCCUUUUUAUCCAUUUUGAUGACAAGUAUUUUCGGACGGAGGGAGUACAAU
rnacentral:pre_miRNA from 1 species